rnacentral:rRNA from 1 species
UGGGGAAUAUUGGACAAUGGGCGAAAGCCUGAUCCAGCCAUGCCGCGUGUGUGAAGAAGGUCUUCGGAUUGUAAAGCACUUUAAGUUGGGAGGAAGGGCAGUAAGCGAAUACCUUGCUGUUUUGACGUUACCGACAGAAUAAGCACCGGCUAACUCUGUGCCAGCAGCCGCGGUAAUACAGAGGGUGCAAGCGUUAAUCGGAAUUACUGGGCGUAAAGCGCGCGUAGGUGGUUCGUUAAGUUGAAUGUGAAAGCCCCGGGCUCAACCUGGGAACUGCAUCCAAAACUGGCGAGCUAGAGUAGGGCAGAGGGUGGUGGAAUUUCCUGUGUAGCCGUGAAAUGCGUAGAUAUAGGAAGGAACACCAGUGGCGAAGGCGACCACCUGGGCUCAUACUGACACUGAGGUGCGAAAGCGUGGGGAGCAAACAGG